GACGAACGCUGGCGGCGUGCCUAGCACAUGCAAGUCGAGCGGGGAUUACCGGAUGAAGUUUUCGGAUGGAAUCUGGUAAUUCUAGCGGCGGACGGGUGAGUAACGCGUGAGCAACCUGCCUCUCACAGGGGGAUAACGCAGCGAAAGUUGCACUAAUACCGCAUGAGACCACACUUCUGACAUGGGAGAGGGGUCAAAGGAGGAAUCCGGUGUGAGAUGGGCUCGCGUCUGAUUAGCUGGUUGGUGAGGUAACGGCCCACCAAGGCGACGAUCAGUAGCCGACCUGAGAGGGUGAUCGGCCACAUUGGAACUGAGAGACGGUCCAAACUCCUACGGGAGGCAGCAGUGGGGAAUAUUGGGCAAUGGGGGAAACCCUGACCCAGCAACGCCGCGUGAAGGAAGAAGGUUUUCGGAUCGUAAACUUCUAUCCUUGGUGAAAAUAAUGAUGGUAGCCAAGAAGGAAGCCCCGGCUAACUACGUGCCAGCAGCCGCGGUAAUACGUAGGGGGCAAGCGUUGUCCGGAAUGAUUGGGCGUAAAGGGCGCGUAGGCGGCCUGAUAAGUUUGAAGUGAAAGUCCUUCUUUUAAGGAGGGAACUGCUUUGAAAACUGUCGGGCUUGAGUGCAGGAGAGGUAAGCG
rnacentral:rRNA from 1 species